rnacentral:rRNA from 1 species
CUUAAAGGAAUUGACGGGACCCCGCACAAGCGGUGGAUUAUGUUGUUUAAUUUCGACGCAACGCGAAGAACUUACCAGGCCUUGACAUACUCGGCAAAGCUCUAGAGAUAGAGUGGAGGUUAUCCGGGAUACAGGUGGUGCAUGGUUGUCGUCAGCUCGUGUCGUGAGAUGUUGGGUUAAGUCCCGCAACGAGCGCAACCCUUGUCUUUAGUUACCAUCAUUCAGUUGGGGACUCUAGAGAGACUGCCGGUGAUAACCGGAGGAAGUGGGGAUGACGUCAAAUCAUCAUGCCCCUUAUGGCCUGGGCUACAAACGUAAUACAAUGGCGUAUACAAAGGGAUGCGAAAGGGCGACCUGGAGCAAAACUCACAAAGUACGUCUCAGUUCAGAUUGGAGUCUGCAACUCGACUCCAUGAAGGCGGAAUCGCUAGUAAUCGCGGAUCAGCAUGCCGCGGUGAAUACGUUCCCGGGCCUU